AGCCUUGCUAGAUAUAGGGCAUAUCCUACAUGAAUGUGUCUCUACUGUACAGCAAGGCUAUAUAGGUUGGCAGGUUUUGCUUCCAUCAUGUAAAACUGAUUGCAUUGGUGACAAUGAGGCCUGGCACAUGU